UGCACACAACAGAUUGGGAAGGAAUCAAAGGAUGGUGAAGAGACUUUGGGUGAAGGUGAUCUAGCUUGUUCUUCAUUAUUCUAAACUCUGUUUCACUGGUAUUUUGGCUCAAUAGCUAAUUAUCGCUUUGCAUAUAUUCUUCAGAAAGAGUUAUUGCAUACAAAACCUGCUUUUGAGAACAGGAGGAUGUUACUUCCUUAAGGUCUUUCUGGAUUCUAUAUUCUAACUUAAUUUAUCUUAGAGUAGUUUCUUCUGUCUGUUAGAGUACAUUUCUGAAGCACAGACAGUUGUGUGAUCAAGGGCAUCAGUAUGUAAGUAAAACAGAUGUUACAGUACUGAUGAAAAGCAGUCUUCACUUUCAGUAGAACGAGAAAUGUUUCUGUUGCUGUGAACCACUUUUAUAUAGUGCAUGCGAUAUACCUAUCGCCAGCAGAGGUUGUUGUGCUACGCACUGCAGAUCAGAGUUCAGUUUUAGGCCAAAGCAGUCAUUCGAAUUGCACAGUUUAACAAUAUAGCAGAAUUUUAUUAUUAUUAUUUUUUAAAACCACAUAUAUGAUCUAUGUAUUAGAAGUUCCACUGAUCUCCAUUUCACUUCCCUUCUACCUCUUCUGAAAUGAGUACAGAACACCUUGAAGCUGUGCCUUAGGAAAUAAGCCCUCUGCCAAAUACGGAGGCAUAAUGUCCUAAUUUUUGUGGACUUCCCUUCGGACUUCUUGAUGCAGACCUCCCCUGCAUGUAGUCCUAAUGUCAUUGAAACUCUUCAUUGUAAGUGUAUAGGAAGGUGAGUGUCAGUAAGAAUUUUUUUUUCCUGUGUCAUCUGUCUCCCAUUCCAUGAUUUUCAGAUGGCCUUGAUGUUUUCUCCCAUAGAAGCAUAAUUCAUAGCAAGCUCAUGCUUCACGAAUGUUUACAUACAAUCCUAGUGUAUCCCUCUUAAAUCACCUCACAGUUUAUGAUUCCUGAGUGUAUAAAAGGUGCUUUUUUUCCCCAAUCUGUGUUCCUAAUUAAAACUUUCUGUUGGUUUGCAUUAAUGUUAUUUGUAAAACUGUAGAGGGGGAGAUCUGCUGGAAGAAAAUUCAAAUAUGCAAUGUUUUUGUUUUCACAUGAUUUGGGAGUUUUAGCUGUAAUUGGAAUUAAAAUGUGUUUUGCACUGGAGUAUAGUGCUUCAGAAGUCAUUGUGUUUUAAAAGUUGCUAGUUUGCUAAACAGUUGAACAGAAAUGUAACUGGUUAUUUCAAUUUAUUCAAAGAGUAGUUAUUAUUAAUGAGAUCUUUGUUUUGCAUUACGCGUUUAAAAGUUCUCAUCUCACAGCAUCAAAGAUCUCUCCGUUUUGUAUAAUGGAUUGUUUUGAGAGUUGCAUUUGCAUUAAAAUUGGAGAACCUUUCAAAAUCUAAUUCAGAAAGAAAUAGGCUUUAGAUGACUUGAUAGCAUAAUAAUUCAGCAUGAAACAUGCCAAUGUACUGUAUACAGCAGUCUACAGUUUUCCUUCAAAUCAUUUCGAUGAAUGGAUUUCUUUUGGCCUUAUUGUGUUUUUUUAAGUAAGACAGAAAAUGUACAGAUGGACGUUAAGUGGAACUUAAUGUAUGUUGUUAAGGAAAUUUUUUAUCAAUGUGUUCUAGCAGAGCGAAUGUGUGUUUCACAAUGAAAACAUUUCCAUGUACCCUGUCAAAAGGAUUGUCUGUUUUUUCACUUGUAUAAAUUUUUGAACACCCAAAA